rnacentral:lncRNA from 1 species
CCAAAACUGAAGCACAAAUUACACACCCAAGAGAAUGUAAAUAGGAGAACAAGAUAAUACAUGAGGUCUCAGAACACAAUCGCAAUAAGGAACUCUGACUGCAAUGUUACAGGAAGGGUGAAAAGGGAGAUUUGGGUGUGAUGGGAUUGCCAGGUACCAGAGGACCAAUGGGCUCCAAGGGUUUUCCAGGAACUAGAGGAGAAAAGGGUUCCAGAGGGGACAGGGGUGACAAAGGAGUCAAAGGAGACCAGGUACUUUUCCAGAUGGCUGUGAGUUUUAGCUGAAUGAGCAGGUAAACACUGAGGUAUUUCUGAUCGCAACAAAGAAGGGUGACAUGGAGUCAUGUUCCUGGGAUGGUAAGAAGGCAGUGGUCCCACAUUAUGUGGUCCUCUGUGUCC